rnacentral:misc_RNA from 1 species
GAUGAAGAACGUAAGCAAAAUGCGAUAAGUAAUGUGAAUUGCAGAAUUCAGUGAAUCAUCGAAUCUUUGAACGCACAUUGCGCCCGCUGGUAUUCCGGCGGGCAUGCCUGUUCGAGCGUCAUUUCAACCCUCAAGCCCCCGGGUUUGGUGUUGGGGAUCGGCUCUGCCCUUCUGGGCGGUGCCGCCCCCGAAAUACAUUGGCGGUCUCGCUGCAGCCUCCAUUGCGUAGUAGCUAACACCUCGCAACUGGAACGCGGCGCGGCCAUGCCGUAAAACCCCAACUUCUGAAUGUUGACCUCGGAUCAGGUAGGAAUACCCGCUGAACUUAAGCAUAUCAAUAAGCGGAGGA